rnacentral:rRNA from 1 species
UUAUUCUACUCCCAAACCCCUGUGAACUUAUACCUUUACUGUUGCUUCGGCGGGUUAACGCCCCGGAAGGCCCGCGAGGGCCGCCGGAACCAGGCGCCCGCCGGGGGACCCAAACUCUUGUAUCUUUUUUAUAGCAUGUCUGAGUGGAAUCAUAAACAAAUGAAUCAAAACUUUCAACAACGGAUCUCUUGGUUCUGGCAUCGAUGAAGAACGCAGCGAAAUGCGAUAAGUAAUGUGAAUUGCAGAAUUCAGUGAAUCAUCGAAUCUUUGAACGCACAUUGCGCCCGCCAGUAUUCUGGCGGGCAUGCCUGUUCGAGCGUCAUUUCAACCCUCAAGCCCCCAGUGGCCUGGUGUUGGGGACCGGCGACCUCGCCCGGGGGAACACCCCCGGCGCGUCCGCCGCCCCCGAAAUGAAUUGGCGGCCCCGUCGCGGCCUCCUCUGCGUAGUAGCACAACCUCGCAGCGGGAGCGCGACGCGGCCACUGCCGUAAAACGCCCAACUUUUUUUAGAGUUGACCUCGGAUCAGGAG